GAACAACCCUAGCACCUAAGAACUCAUUGAUGAUUGAGCUCUUACCGCAGUUGGUUUGACCGGUGACUAUGAGAGCUGGCGUUUGCGUAAGGAACUUAGAAACUUUGCUGCGUUCAGCCUCGGUAUAAAGACUCUCCGACAGGCUGGAUCUGUUCCUGCGAAACUCUUUGAACACUUCUUCGAGGGACGGCAUUUUCUGCUUGACUUCGGCAGACUGCUUUCGUUUUGCUUCAUGGAUGUCGGGAGAGUCCCAGAUGCCACGCUGUAAAGGUUGCGUCACGCAAUUUACGCACUUGAUCUAAUUUAUAACAAUUUUAUCCCACUGUUAUCUGAGUUUGACUCAUGCAUCCUCCUUAAAAAUAAACAAUCUAUUUGCGAUUUAUUCAUUGCGAUUCCUCUUUUGAAUCGCUCGGUUUAUAUGCUUUUAGUUUUCUGAGAGGUCACCUCCGUUAACGCCGGUAUGUCAACAUAAUGCAACGGAUUUUAUUAUUCUCAGAAAAACCGGAAAGAAAUGUCAUGCAAAGACAGGCAGACAAGGGGAGGGGGGGGGUUAGACCAAAGCCAAAAAAAAAAACAUUCUGGCACGCAAAAAUCACAUGAAAAUGUCUAUAAAUAUAUUUAUGGAUAGUA